UACGAAGGGGGCUAGCGUUGCUCGGAAUUACUGGGCGUAAAGCGCACGUAGGCGGCUUUCUAAGUCGGGGGUGAAAUCCUGGAGCUCAACUCCAGAACUGCCUUUGAUACUGAGGAUCUUGAGUUCGGGAGAGGUGAGUGGAACUGCGAGUGUAGAGGUGAAAUUCGUAGAUAUUCGCAAGAACACCAGUGGCGAAGGCGGCUCACUGGCCCGAUACUGACGCUCAUGCACGAAAAGCGUGGGGAGCAAACAGG
rnacentral:rRNA from 1 species